UAAACACAUGCUGUCAUAGAGGUUGAAGGCUAUUCACCUGAUAGAGGAAACAAACAAGAAACAAGGAUGCUUUAUCAGGCCUUACCUGCUGGCAGGUCACUUUGCUGCCAUCAUCUCUGUAGAAACCAUUAAGGUGACUGGAUCAAGGCUCUGACUUAAGCUGUUAUUGGGGCCUUCAUCCAUGGUUGGCAGCUCAUCCUCCUCAUCCUGGCGUUUGUGUCUUUCCUCACUGAGGCCGAUUUCAUUCAAAUGAGACCAGCGGCAGGACAUUUCCUCUGAAGACCAGAGGAAGACAGAAUAGCCUAUAAAGGAGGAACAAGCCACAACUUCACCCCCCUGCAAGUAUUUGUGCACUUGUAU